rnacentral:rRNA from 1 species
AGAGUUUGAUCAUGGCUCAGGACGAACGCUGACGGUGUGCUUUAGGCAUGCAAGUCGAACGAGAAAGCCCUUCGGGGUGAGUAAAGUGGCGAACGGGUGAGUAACACGUGGGCAACCUGCCCCUCGCAGGGGGACAACCGGAGGAAACUCCGGCUAAUACCCCGUAAGCUCUACACGCCGCAUGGCGAGUAGAGGAAAGGUAGCUUCGGCCAUCCGGCGAGGGAUGGGCCCGCGGUGCAUUAGCUAGUUGGUGGGGUAACGGCCCACCAAGGCGACGAUGCGUAGCUGGUCUGAGAGGAUGAUCAGCCACACUGGGACUGAGACACGGCCCAGACUCCUACGGGAGGCAGCAGCCAGGAAUCUUGGGCAAUGGGCGAAAGCCUGACCCAGCAACACCGUGUGGGCGAUGAAGGCCUUCGGGUCGUAAAGCCCUGUUGAUAGGGACGAAGGGCGAAGGGUUAAUAGCCCCUAGCUUGACGGUACCUUUCGAGGAAGCCCCGGCUAACUACGUGCCAGCAGCCGCGGUAAUACGUAGGGGGCGAGCGUUGUCCGGAAUUAUUGGGCGUAAAGAGCGUGUAGGCGGUUCGGUAAGUCUGUCGUGAAAUCCUGGGGCUCAACCCCGGGCGUGCGAUGGAUACUGCCGGGCUAGAGGGUGGUAGAGGCGAGUGGAAUUCCCGGUGUAGCGGUGAAAUGCGCAGAUAUCGGGAGGAACACCAGUAGCGAAGGCGGCUCGCUGGGCCACACCUGACGCUGAGACGCGAAAGCUAGGGGAGCGAACAGGAUUAGAUACCCCAGUAGUCC